AGGGCGUAUGGGGAAUGCCUAGGCACACUCCGGCGAAGAAGGACGCAGCAAACAGCGAAAUGCGACGGUGAGCGGUAAGCACGUGAAGAGCCGUCGAUAUCCGAAUGGGGGAACCCACACGGAGUCAUAUCCGUGUAUCACAUGUCGAAUACAUAGACAUGAUGAGGCGAGACGCAGGGAACUGAAACAUCUAAGUACCUGCAGGAAGAGAAAAUAAGAAUGAUUUUCUGAGUAGCGGCGAGCGAAAGGGAAAGAGCCCAAACCGAUCUGAGGAUCGGGGUAGUAGGAUCAUCGAUAAAUCAAACAGAGGAUCAUAGAGGAAUCACAUGGGAAGGUGAGCGAGAGAGGGUGAGAGCCCCGUACUCGAAAUGAGAGACUGGAGAGAGAUGACACCUGAGUAGGGCGGGACACGAGAAAUCCUGUCUGAAUCAGCCGGGACCAUCCGGCAAGGCUAAAUACGAGAGAGUGACCGAUAGUGAACCAGUACCGUGAGGGAAAGGUGAAAAGAACCCCGGGAGGGGAGUGAAAGAGAACCUGAAACCAUAUGCCUACAAGAAGUCAGAGCCCGUUAAAGGGUGAUGGCGUGCCUUUUGUAGAAUGAACCGGCGAGUUACUGUAUGGAGCGAGGUUAAGCAGGAUAUGCGGAGCCGAAGCGAAAGCGAGUCUUAAGAGGGCGCGAGUUGCAUGCAGUAGACCCGAAACCGGGUGAUCUAGCCAUGACCAGGUUGAAGUUGGGGUAAAACCCGAUGGAGGACCGAACCGACCCCCGUUGAAACGUUGGCGGAUGAGUUGUGGCUAGGGGUGAAAUUCCAAUCGAACCCGGAGAUAGCUGGUUCUCCCCGAAAUAGCUUUAGGGCUAGCGUCGAGAGAAGAGUUGCGUGAAGGUAGAGCACUGAAUAUGUGAUGGCCCCAUCUCGGGGUACUGAGCAUAAUCAAACUGCGAAUGUCACGCCAACAUGCUCGGCAGUCAGACAGCGGGUGAUAAGGUCCGUUGUCAAGAGGGAAACAGCCCAGACCAUCAGCUAAGGUCCCAAAAUGUAUGCUAAGUGGAAAAGGAUGUGGAGAUGUACAGACAACUAGGAGGUUGGCUCAGAAGCAGCCAUCCUUUAAAGAGUGCGUAACAGCUCACUAGUCGAAUGACUCUGCGCCGAUAAUUUACCGGGGCUAAGCAUACUACCGAAGCUAUGGAUCCCAAGGGAUGGUAGGGGAGCGUUCCAUGAACGGAGAAGUACGACCGAAAGGACGUGUGGAGAUCAUGGAAGAGAGAAUGCCGGUGUGAGUAGCGGAACGUGGGUGAGAAUCCCACGCACCGAAAACCCAAGGUUUCCAGAGGAAGGUUCGUCCGCUCUGGGUAAGUCGGGACCUAAGGCGAGGCCGAAAGGCGUAGUCGAUGGACAACAGGUAGAGAUUCCUGUACCCGUAUAUAUGUGAAGGAAUGACGGAGAGAGGAAGCUGCAGCCAGCGGCUGGAAGAGCUGGUGCAAGCGAGAUAUCGGGAUGGCAGGCAAAUCCACCAUCCGAAACGAGAAGGCGUGAAGCGUACGGAAAGCUACGGCGAGUACGGAAGGCAGUGGAGGAACUUCCAAGAAAAGUUUCUAACGUUAAGUAUAUAUGGCCCGUACCGAAAAUGGACACACAUGGGUGAGGAGAGAAUCCUAAGGUGAGCGAGAGAACUAUAGCUAAGGAACUCUGCAAAAUGACUCCGUAACUUAGGGAGAAGGAGUGCUCAUAGAGAUAUGAGCCGCAGUGAAACGGCCCAAGCGACUGUUUACCAAAAACACAGCUCUCUGCUAAGCCGCAAGGCGAAGUAUAGGGGGUGACGCCUGCCCGGUGCUGGAAGGUUAAGGGGAGGGGUUAACGCAAGUGAAGCCCUGAACUGAAGCCCCAGUAAACGGCGGCCGUAACUAUAACGGUCCUAAGGUAGCGAAAUUCCUUGUCAGGUAAGUUCUGACCCGCACGAAAGGCGUAACGAUUUGGGCGCUGUCUCAGCUGUAGACUCGGUGAAGUCUUAGUACCUGUGAAGAUGCAGGUUACCCGCGACUAGACGGAAAGACCCCAUGGAGCUUCACUGCAGGUUGAUAUUGGGAUUUGAUGCAGCAUGUACAGGAUAGGUAGGAGGCAAAGAGAUGGAUACGCCAGUAUUCAAGGAGCCGCUGUUGGGAUACUACCCCUGUUGUAUUGGAUUUCUAACCGGACGACGUAGAGCCGUUGACGGGACAGUGUCAGUCGGGCAGUUUGACUGGGGCGGUCGCCUCCCAAAGAGUAACGGAGGCGCCCAAAGAUACCCUCAGCUUGGAUGGAAACCAAGCGCAGAGUGCAAAGGCAAAAGGGUGUUUGACUGCGAGACCCACAAGUCGAGCAGGGACGAAAGUCGGGCU
rnacentral:rRNA from 1 species